CCCCCUCUAGCAUCACCAUUACUAAUGGUAUGGUCCUUAGCAUCAGGUCCUUUUUGUCCCCCACUGGUCUUCUGAGCAGACUUGACGCAGUUUCAUCUCAUUCCUGAGGUAUCCUGAGCCCCUCAGUGCCAUACUUCUGCGUGAGUGCUGUGAACUGGAGCAAAUGGGUUGAAAAUGGCCAGAAGUUGCUCUUGGUCUCUUUAGAUCUUUUAUGACAAAGAAAAAAAUUGAAUUUCUGACCAGUUAAAAUCCAUUUGAGCCAGUUUAAGCUAAUUAUGCAGAACUGGAGCCUGAGGUCGGUAAAUCCAGGAAGAUGGCUGAAUACUAUGCUGACUCAAGUACAGACAAGGAGCCAGCUUUCUUGGAUUCCAGCUUCACUUCUUCCUUGACUUCACCCUGGCCCUGUGGUGACUGGAGGCUUUGUGAUAUGAUGAGAAAACCAAGGCUCCAAGAGCUUCUGUAACUUGUCCAAGACCAUGCAGUUAGUGCACAGUGAGGCACAGAAUCAGUUGUAGAAGCACUUCAGGGAAUUCGGAUACUAUUUUGUGGCCUGGCAAGAUCAGCAGCCUUACUAUCUUAGUCCCUGCCAGUCAUCAGCUUCUGGUUUCCCUGUUAUCCUGCUGCUCCCUAGAAUGCAGCUAUUAAGUGGCCUAAGAGCCAGCACCUUCACGGAGUAGCAAAGGAAUGGGACAGAAGACUCCAGCUACAAUGGGAAUCAACCAGUGUCUAUGUUGUACAGCCUGUUCCAGCAGUCCCAGUUGCCUAAAGGCCUAGCUAUCAGAAUAAGGUUCAGCCUAUGGAAAUUCCCAAUGCUUGAACUAACAGCAAUAGUGAUCUAUAUAGUCUCAAGGAGGCUGAUGCUUGUGUUGGAGGCCUUCUGAGCAUCUUCCAUAUCCAUCUGGCCUUAUAAACACUUUUUCCUCUGCUGUACACAAGGAAUGAACCAUAAAAGCAGAAACUCCAUCAU
rnacentral:lncRNA from 1 species